CGAACGAGCUCUCCCAAAUUGAUUUUAUGCUUGCAUAAAUGAUUUUUGGAUUCGGAGCGAGUGGCGAACUGGUGAGUAACACGUGGGUAACCUGCCCCGAAGCGGGGGAUAACAUUUGGAAACAARUGCUAAUACCGCAUAAUUAGUUGGAACCGCAUGGUUCCAACUUGAAAGAUGGCUCUGCUAUCACUUUGGGAUGGACCCGCGCCGUAUUAGUUAGUUGGUGAGAUAAAAGCCCACCAAGACGAUGAUACGUAGCCGACCUGAGAGGGUAAUCGGCCACAUUGGGACUGAGACACGGCCCAGACUCCUACGGGAGGCAGCAGUAGGGAAUCUUCCACAAUGGACGAAAGUCUGAUGGAGCAACGCCGCGUGAGUGAUGAAGGUUUUCGGAUCGUAAAACUCUGUUGUUAAAGAAGAACAAGUGUUAGAGUAACUGUUAACACUUUGACGGUAUUUAAMCAGAAAGCCACGGCUAACUACGUGCCAGCAGCCGCGGUAAUACGUAGGUGGCAAGCGUUGUCCGGAUUUAUUGGGCGUAAAGCGAGCGCAGGCGGUUUUGUAAGUCUGCUGUGAAAGCCCUCAGCUCAACUGAGGAAGUGCAGUGGAAACUACAAAACUUGAGUACAGAAGAGGAAAGUGGAACUCCAUGUGUAGCGGUGAAAUGCGUAGAUAUAUGGAAGAACACCAGUGGCGAAGGCGGCUUUCUGGUCUGUUACUGACGCUGAGGCUCGAAAGCAUGGGUAGCGAACAGGAUUAGAUACCCUG
rnacentral:rRNA from 2 species